rnacentral:rRNA from 1 species
UACGUAGGGACCAAGCGUUGUUCGGAUUUACUGGGCGUAAAGGGCGCGUAGGCGGCUUGGUAAGUCACUUGUGAAAUCUCUGAGCUUAACUCAGAACGGCCAAGUGAUACUGCUGUGCUAGAGUGCAGAAGGGGCAAUCGGAAUUCUUGGUGUAGCGGUGAAAUGCGUAGAUAUCAAGAGGAACACCUGAGGUGAAGACGGGUUGCUGGGCUGACACUGACGCUGAGGCGCGAAAGCCAGGGGAGCAAACGGG